GGGGGGGUGGGGAGGUCUCUCAGCCCGAAUUGUGAGAGGGUGCAAGCCAGGUCGAGGGACCCCACCAGUGCACA
rfam:Myotis lucifugus cont2.41166, whole genome shotgun sequence.